GUUUCCAUCCUGUUGAUGUAAAUUGGGUUCAAGUACUUCCAAAGGUUUAUCCUGUUUAUCUGCCUGAUGGACAUCCCCUCACACAUUUCCCCUCAUUUAAGUGCUAAUGAGUGAGUGGGGGCCAGUCUGGUGCAUCAAAGUGGGGGUGAUUAGUCGUCUACAGGAGGGAGGCUUCUUUGGUCCUGGUGACGUCAUAAAACUGGACUCCGAUCUGAUUGGCUGACAUAUGAACAAAAGCUGCCAGCAACCAAAUACCUGACAUGACUUCCAAGGUGAGACGUAUGGACCUGAGCACCUUGGAGCGAGUGAUUGUGAAGUGGACUUCAUACAGGAGCUCCUCCAAACCUCCACUUCCUCUGGCCUCCUGUCCUCAAUGAGAAGAAAGAAAGGAAAGGCACCGAGGACUAAUAUACUAGACUGUUGUAUACGUCCAAAAGAGUUAAGCUCAUACCACUCUGUCUGGUCCUAAUACACAAAGAGCUGACGAGGCCUACUGGGAGCUGAAGGCCCUAAAAAUGAGAAGAAAAGGUUCCUCAUCUUGGGCGCCUGCUGCUCCCCAGAAGAGUCCUGGACAAGGCGCUGGUGGAACCCUGUUUACCAGGACCUCACCUACUGCCGCUCCACAUCAGGUCCGAGUGUGGAGGACUGGAUAGAAAAGAACGUGCCAAAGACCACCAGGUGGAGGUCAGAAGAAAUCCCUGGAUCAACCAGGAAGAGGACCUGCAAAGCAUGCGGCCAGAGAUGGGUCACAGCCUCCAACAAGACUUUGUGGAAGCAGUGACCCCCAGAAGAGGACUGUGGAGCAGUGGCUGACAGAGGUCAGAGGAGGGGUCUCCUCCAAGGCGGUAAAGGAGGACCGAGUCCACAAAGGUGGCCUUUAAUAAAGAGCUGAACCAGAGGAGGCUGCAGUAUGUCCAAAAGUAUGGAGGGAAAUAAGUGAGGGUGUGUUAUUGCUAGGGCUGUCAAAUUAUUAAAAAUUUUAAU